rnacentral:lncRNA from 1 species
CUUAUCUGUGAGCCACAGUUGUUUUCAAAAUCCCAAACAUAGACAAAAUAGUAUUCAUAUUAAGGAAUAAUUUUUGACUAAACUACAACUAUUUCUUGCAUUUCAAAUUAUCUGCUUGUUUCAGAUGUGAAAGUUGUUUUCUUCUCCUUAUCAAUCUUCCAGUCAGAAAAGCAAUUUUCCUUUUUAAAUUCUAGUGAGGGAUAGAGCCAAUAAUAACUAUAGAGUUAUAUAAUGAAACCUUCACAGACAACUGGUAAUUACAUCAUUGGAAAUAAUAAAUAUGUAAUAUCACAGUUGUUCCUGAAGUUAAAUAUAAUAUCAAAUUUCAGGAUAUACAUAUGACAGUAUAAAAUUUUACCAUUGUAGGUAAAAAAAAACAAAAACUGCUCUAAUUCCAUGGAAAAGGUGCUGUAGAAAAAGUAGUCCCACCCCCAAAUCCUUGACAGUAUUUUGAGGUUUUAAGAUUAAGGCAGUUUUCUCUAUAUUCUAGCAACUUAGCAACCAUGCUUCUGGAUCUCCAUUUGUCUGUGAAGAAACUCUACUUUAUGCCAGAUUCCUCUUACAUUUGUCCUAGAUUUUUUCCUCACUAGAUUCUAGUCCUCCUGCUUGCUGCCUUUCCUAUCAUGUUUAUUGUAUGUCUUGAAUCCAGAGGAUCAGGUCUCAAGCUCUUAUGGUCCAGGCAGUGUCAUUUCUAGGAAAUAUCAUUCAUUUUGCCCCUGGCCCAUGUGUAAUUCUAAUUUCUAGGAAUUAGUACAUUCAGUUUCCCAGGAAACUCAUCCUGAGCCAUUUGUAUGCAGUAGAUUUCCCCAAUUUCUCUUUCUGUAUUCUUGUCAUGUAAAUGAUUACAGAUGACAGCUUUCUGCCCCCCAACCUUGACUCUCAUAUUUUGUAUUAGUCAUGCUUCAGUAGCACAUUGUCAAACAUCUUAUUGAUAUGAGUCAGUUCUCAAAAUAAUAAUCAUCUAGCUCUAUUCUUAGGGAAUUCUUGAUGAGCAAAUAUUCAAUAUAUCUAAGAAAAUGAGUUCAUUCUUAUGUUACUCUGUUAUAACAAAAUUUACAAGCAAUUUUUUAAAAGGGGGUUUCUUUUUCUCUAAUCUUUCCACUUAGCAGGGUUAAUAGAAGGUAACCAAAUAAUUAUUUGAUUACAACAGUCACUAAAGCUGUGAGUGAGCAGUUCUUUAACAUAUAAGAACAUUUCACAAGAUCUCACUUUUCUUAGAAUUCAACAAAGCUUCUCAGAAGAAGUAAGCUACAAACUGAGUCCAGAGCCUGAGUAUAUAGAGUUUGAUUGGCCUGAGAAGUUCAAGUAAGGAUGUUGAGGUAGAAUUUGUUUGCCAUUGAAUUGGGUAAGAAGAGUAGAAUACCCAAUUCAUGACAUCCAAUGUUCAUAAUAUCCAUAAGAACCCAUUCUAUAUUGCUUGCUCUGACUGCUGUUUCUCCAUAAACACUUUUUACUUUAAACCAACUGAAUUUUGAUUCUUCCCUCAACAAAAACGUGAAUUUUCCUCUCUGCUUUGGUUUCUUUUACUUAGUCUUCCCACACUUCUUAUCUAUUCUCACAGUUCUUAUGACUUUGAUGUUUAUGACAGCCUCAACUUUUAGAUUCAUGUAGUUUUCAAGUGGUAUUUCCUUUAUAAUGCCUUUAUUGUCAAACAAAACUUUCCCUCAGUCUUUUGAAGUUGAGACUAGGCUAAAUGAGUGUGAAAUUUAAAGAAUGAUAUAUUGCAAUUGUUGUUGUUUUUGUUGUUGUUGUUGGUUUUCUUAGACAGGGUCUCACAAUGCAGUUCAGGCUGGUCUUGAAGUCACUAUGUAGCUCUGGCUGGCCUCAAACUCACAGAGAUCCUCCUCCAUCUGCCUCCUGAGUGCUGAGAUUACAGGAGUUCACCACUACAUCCAGGGAUGUAUGGCAAUCUUGAUUUAGCUAAAACCUCAGUGGUCCCGUGAUGCUCCAGGGCAAGAUUACACCCGCUGAAGACAUCCAGGGAAGAACAAAAUCUUCAUCUUCAUAGUUCCUCAUUGUUCUAGGAUUAUCGCUGUGGGUGCCACCAUUGCCCCCUGAGUGAUCUUUUACAUUUGUUACUCUCUGAUGUUCUGAACUUUAUGCCCUGAAUCAUGUUACAUUUGUUUCUCCUAAUGUACUGAAUAAAAAUGUGGCAAGCUCUGGGGCUUUCAUCUUUGUGGCCCAGAGCAGCAUUGAUCAGACCCAAAGCUCAGCUUCUUCUCUAAGCCUCAUUUUUUCUAUCUUUCCUGUAUAAUAAGUUAAUUCACCUUGUGCUGUUGUGGCUCACAGGAGACUAGGAGUUACUGCAGAGGUUCUAGUAACGUUUCCUUACCCUGUUCCCUACAUGCACUCCCACCAAUAAAGAAGAGUUCUUUCUUCCCUACAGCCUCACCGUCAUUUGUUAUUUGUUUAUUUUCAUUGGUUUCUGGGGAGAGGUGAAAACUUAGUUUUAAUUUUCAUUUCUUGAAUGACCAAAUAUUUUGAACCUUUCUUCUUGUAUCUAUUGGGCAAUUGCAUUUCCUCAUCUUAGAACUGUCUGCUCUUUUCAGAUGCCCACAUUUUUUUUAGGUCUUUAAAUUUGGUGGUCUAUUUUUUAUAUGUUAUAAAUGUUAGUCCUUUGAGGAUCAUAUGUUAAGAAAAGUAAAUCAGAUACACAAGCUUGAACAUCAUAUAGUUUUGCUUAUAUGAAAAAAGUUAAUAGAAAAACAGAGGAGAAAAAAGUUUCUGUAUUCUCAGUAUGUUUCUGCUGUUAAUUUCUAGUUUCACUCCAAUAAGAUGUGAGAGAUCACUUUGCAUGAUUUCUUUGGAUUUGUUAAGAUCUUUAUUGUUGAUAUGAGCAUGGUCUAUUUUGAAUUUAAAAAAUUCCAAGAAUAAGAAAGUCUAUGAAGAUAGAGAGUGCAGUAGUUGAGUGGUUGCCUGGAUUGGGUUGGGGGGCACAAUUGGGAGAUGAUAGCUAUGGGUAGAGUGUUUUGUUUCGGGAUCACAAAAAUGGUCUAAAUGUGUAGUCAUGGUUGUUCAACUUUGUCAAUGUGCUAUAAUUUACUGAAUCUUAUACUUUAAGUGUGUAAAUUGUAUGGCAUGCAAAUUUUAGUUUAAUAAAGCUGUUAUUUUUUUUUUAACUGUGUCCAAUUAUUGCUCAUCUCUGCACAUGGGCACGUUUGUCACUUAGGGAGUGUCUAUCUAAAAAUUGUCUAUUUAAAAGCAAAAGUUGUUUAUCUCUAACUCUACCCAAACUAACUCAUCCUCUGUCAAGAAUACGAACACCAAAACAAGAGAUUUAUGGGGUUUGAACUUCUAAUGAGCACCCCGUAGUCUUCAGUUAUUACUCUAAACAUUAGAUCACUUUAAGUUUCACCACAGCCUCCAGAAAACCGAGACCACACGAAACAGAAGCAACCAUCUCAUUGAAAAUAAAUUGCUUCCUUCAGCAGUAAGGACCUCUCACAGAGCCGUCUUGCAAAACCAGAAAUGUAAUAAUGAUCAUCCACAAGCUGACCUACCUCAGGCAACCCAUAAAGUUCAGUUUUCUACAUUUAUGAGAAGGCUGGCCUGAUCCUCUCAGUCAGAGGCCUCAGAGAUAUCUUCCUCAUCAGCUCCUCAACCUAAAGCCCUCUCACUAUUUUCCCUUGUUUUCUAACUCUGACCAGUAAAUCUGCCUAUGCCUCACACUGAUGCAUCUUGAAAUGCAUUUUUGUUGUGUGUGACAAGAGUCAAUAACCUCUUCUGGGAGACCAGAUGAGCGCUCUGUCUUCUCGUUGGGGAGAAGUCCUCGGAUCCCAACCAGUGAUAGGUCUGUAUAUACAAGCUAAAUCUGUAAAGCUUCAAGAAAAAAAGACAUAAGAGAGUGGAUUUCCAUCCUGAUGAUAGGCAAAAGUUUCAUAUAAAAUAUAUACUCUAUAUAAAUAUAGAGUAUAUAUAACAUAUGGAUAUAUAAAAUAAAAAUAAUUGAUAAACUUGAUUUCAUCAAAAUUAAAAAUAAAAUUAAAAUAAUUGAUAAACUUGAUUUCAUCAAAAUGAACAUUUUUGCUCACUAAAACAGCAUUAAAAUGAGAAGAGUAAACAACAAGUAGGACAUUAUUAACUUGCAAUAAUAUGAUAAUGGGCUUACUUUCAGAGUAUGUAAAGACUCUUUUAAGUAAUUGUAGAAAAGUAAAUAAUCAGUACACAAAAGAAGACAUGGUAAUGGCCAAUAAACAUAAGAAAAGAUGCCAAAAAUCACCAUUCCACAAGUAAAUGGAACUUAAAACUACAGUGUGAUGGCACAUAGCAUCCACCUCAUGGGGAAAGAAAUACAACACUGUCAAAUAUUCAUGAGGAGAUAGAUGAUGUUAGAACUCUAGGGCAAUGUUGAUGUGAAAGUAAGAUUAUAAAGCUAACUUCAAACCAGUCUGUGGGCAAUUUCCAGUGAAGUUAAGCAUUUACUCACUCAACAGAAGAGAAACUCCAUUCUGAGAUUUUUUUCUAAGAAAAAAACCUAAAAACAUCCCUUAAAUGAAUGGACUGAUCCAUAUUCAGUACAGCUUUAUUGAUCAAUUAAAAAAAUUUGAGGCAAUUCAAUGCCCAUCAAUAGGUGAAAUAAUAAACUCAUUAUUAUAUAUUGACAAAAGGGAACAGAAGACAAAAAUAAAAUAAAACAUUCAACAACAUAGUUUCAAAGGCAUGAUGAGUGAAAAAGUUGUUUGCAAAAGAGAAAUGCUGUAUGAUUUCAUUUUUAUGACAUUCUAGAAGAAUAUUAAUCUAUGGUGAUAAAAACUCUCAUAGUAAUUGCUUCUGGGAGACAGAUUAAUUAAAA